ACCAAAAACAACACAACGGAGCAACGCAGCGCGGAGACAACAAUCGAAAGACAAACAGAGAAAUAUUUAUUACAAUCAAUUACAGGCUGCACAAUAAUGUAGAAAACACACACACACACACUCAGACAUGAAAACCAAACAAAAAGCCAGCAGCAAGCAGCAAGUGUCUGAAAUCGCUUAUACCUCACACAUUUUAUGGCAUUCCGAAAUAAACUGUGCGCUGAUAAGCCGCCUGGAUACAACAGCACAGCACAAAUAACUGUACAGAAGCAUUUUUAAAGAAUUUUAUAGCAUGAGCCGAGCCGAGAUUACGUAUACGCCACGGGCCGCUGAUUAAAUAUGCCGAUUAAAUAUUCAUUUGCUGACGCAGCAACGCGUCACUUAAAACACAUUUUCUGUGUCUGGCCGGCCGUCCCCACACAAUUUUGCUAUAGUAUUUGUUAUUUGCCUACGUCAGAAAAACAAUAACAAUAACACAACACAACACAAUACACGGCAAAAGCGAAUAAAAAAUAAAACAACUUGUUUCCAGACUCAAGUACAACACAGGGACGGAGUGGAGGGGGAGGAAAGACAUCAAUAAUACACAUCUGCUAAAGAGGAGAGACGCUACCGGUUUUGCUCUGAGCUUAACACAAUGUCGACAGGUUCAAGUGAAGUGUGUGUGCACACUUACUAUAUAGUACUCUCAUCGACUCGCAUGUGUAAUUAACGAC